rnacentral:rRNA from 1 species
AAAUACCGGAUAAGAAAGCAGAUCGCAUGAUCAGCUUAUAAAAGGCGGCGUAAGCUGUCGCUAUGGGAUAGCCCCGCGGUGCAUUAGCUAGUUGGUAGGGUAACGGCCUACCAAGGCAAUGAUGCAUAGCCGAGUUGAGAGACUGAUCGGCCACAUUGGGACUGAGACACGGCCCAAACUCCUACGGGAGGCAGCAGUAGGGAAUCUUCCACAAUGGACGAAAGUCUGAUGGAGCAACGCCGCGUGAGUGAAGAAGGUUUUCGGAUCGUAAAGCUCUGUUGUUGGUGAAGAAGGAUAGAGGUAGUAACUGGCCUUUAUUUGACGGUAAUCAACCAGAAAGUCACGGCUAACUACGUGCCAGCAGCCGCGGUAAUACGUAGGUGGCAAGCGUUGUCCGGAUUUAUUGGGCGUAAAGCGAGCGCAGGCGGAAGAAUAAGUCUGAUGUGAAAGCCCUCGGCUUAACCGAGGAACUGCAUCGGAAACUGUUUUUCGUGAGUGCAGAAGAGGAGAGUGGAACUCCAUGUGUAGCGGUGGAAUGCGUAGAUAUAUGGAAGAACACCAGUGGCGAAGGCGGCUCUCUGGUCUGCAACUGACGCUGAGGCUCGAAAGCAUGGGUAGCGAACAGGAUUAGAUACCCUGGUAGUCCAUGCCGUAAACGAUGAGUGCUAAGUGUUGGGAGGUUUCCGCCUCUCAGUGCUGCAGCUAACGCAUUAAGCACUCCGCCUGGGGAGUACGACCGCAAGGUUGAAACUCAAAGGAAUUGACGGGGGCCCGCACAAGCGGUGGAGCAUGUGGUUUAAUUCGAAGCAACGCGAAGAACCUUACCAGGUCUUGACAUCUAGUGCAAUCCGUAGAGAUACGGAGUUCCCUUCGGGGACACUAAGACAGGUGGUGCAUGGCUGUCGUCAGCUCGUGUCGUGAGAUGUUGGGUUAAGUCCCGCAACGAGCGCAACCCUUGUCAUUAGUUGCCAGCAUUAAGUUUGGCACUCUAAUGAGACUGCCGGUGACAAACCGGAGGAAGGUGGGGAUGACGUCAAGUCAUCAUGCCCCUUAUGACCUGGGCUACACACGUGCUACAAUGGACAGUACAACGAGGAGCAAGCCUGCGAAGGCAAGCGAAACUCUUAAAGCUGUUCUCAGUUCGGACUGCAGUCUGCAACUCGACUGCACGAAGCUGGAAUCGC